GCAUUACAACGCAGAAAUAAUCAGCUGAUUGGUUAUCUUUUUUGAUUCAUAUACAUAAAAAUAAAUUAAUCGUACAAUAAGCUAUAUUAUAAUUUCAAUAAUAUAAAUGUUUGAUAUUUUAUUAAAAAAAAAUUAUUAACUUUAGUUUUUUUUAUAACACAAUACGUUAUAAGUAAACAUCUUCAAAAAAUUAUGUUUUAAAAAUUAGAAAAACGUUAAUGCAAUAUUGGAUAAUAGACAAAACUUUGUGUAAGACGACAUCGAGACAUGUCGUCCUCACCAGAAAAUAUUGCUAUAAAGCAGCCUAUUAGACGCUUAGAAAUCCAAAUUAAUAAUUUCAAUGUGGCAAUACCACAUCAUGUUGAUUUGUUAAAACGACAUAAAACUAACAUUCAAAAAUAUCAAGCACAACAUGAUUGGGAAAAAAUGCGUAGAGAACACAUAAAUGUAGCAAGAAUUAUAAAACAACUCAAAGAACUUUUAUAUCAAAUGGAUACUUUAAGAGCUCAUGUUCUUGAUUCUGAUAUUAAUCAAUUUGAUAAACUAACUGCUAAUGCACGUGCGAGUAUUCUGAAUGCAAUAAAAGAAUAUAUGGAAUUAGAGUUAAAUUUGCCCAUGUCGCCAGAAUCAUCCAUAAAUGAAGAUCAAGCUAAUAGUCAUCCACUUGACAAUACAUAUAUCCAACUUCAAAAAGAACAACAGGACUUGCAACAUCAGGAGGCAUGUCUGCAUGCUUGGAAUACCUUGCAAGGAGAUAUACAUCAAUUACAUCAAUUAUUUGUUGAUUUUAACAAAAUUGUUGAUGAUCAAAAAGAAUUAGUGAAUUCAGCAGAAGAUGAUAUAGUGGAAGCAAAUAUAAAUGUCAAAGAAGGAGAAAAAUUUCUUGAAAAAGCUGCUAGAUAUAAAGUUGCUAUGUAUCCAUUAGCAGGAGCUGUAAUAGGAUCUUGUAUUGGUGGGCCAAUUGGUUUAUUAGCUGGAUUAAAAGUUGGUGGACUAACUGCCAUAGGUUGUGGUAUUUUAGGAUUUACUGGAGCAUCUAUAUUAAAAAAAAAAGAAAUAGAAAUGCAGAAAUCAAAAUCUGUUGUAGAACAUGAAUUGACUGAACAAAAACCUAUACAAAGAUCAUCAUCUCUUCCUGAAAAUUUAAAGGAAACUAAGAAAGAAUUAUGACCCAUGACAAAAUGUGAUAUUAUUGAUAAGAAUAAGAAAAAGAAUGCCUGCAGUGUUGUUUAAUCCCAAGGUAAGGAAGAAACUCACGUGUCUAAGGAAACAUUGUCCCACAUUCAUUGGCGACUGCUCGCAUUGUUCCAAUUCCCGUAAGAAAUGCUGACCAUGGAACUCGUAUAUCUUCUCGACAUUGCCGAAGAUCACGUUGCGCUGUCCCCUGAGCGCCUGAGGAAUGUCCUCUCUCACCAGCUCCGGAAUAUAAUUCUUCGGUG